rnacentral:misc_RNA from 1 species
GAUGAAGAACGUAGUGAAAUGCGAUAAGUAAUGUGAAUUGCAGAAUUCAGUGAAUCAUCGAAUCUUUGAACGCACAUUGCGCCCGUCAGUAUUCUGGCGGGCAUGCCUGUUCGAGCGUCAUUACGCCCCUCAAGUCCCCUGUGGACUUGGUGUUGGGGAUCGGCGAGGCUGGUUUUCCAGCACAGCCGUCCCUUAAAUUAAUUGGCGGUCUCGCCGUGGCCCUCCUCUGCGCAGUAGUAAAACACUCGCAACAGGAGCCCGGCGCGGUCCACUGCCGUAAAACCCCCCAACUUUUUAUAGUUGACCUCGAAUCAGGUAGGACUACCCGCUGAACUUAAGCAUAUCAGUAAGCGGAGGA